rnacentral:tRNA from 1 species
AGUGCUAUCGCCAAGCGGUAAGGCAGCGGAUUUUGAUGCCGCCAUGCCUUGGUUGGAAUCCAGGUAGCCCUG